rnacentral:rRNA from 1 species
AUACGGAGGGUGCAAGCGUUGUCCGGAUUUAUUGGGUUUAAAGGGUGUGUAGGCGGUGUAUUAAGUCAGUGGUGAAAGCCUGCGGCUCAACCGUAGAACUGCCAUUGAUACUGACACACUUGAGUAUGGACGAGGUAGGCGGAAUUUAUGGUGUAGCGGUGAAAUGCAUAGAUACCAUAAAGAACACCGAUAGCGAAGGCAGCUUACUGGGCCAUAACUGACGCUGAGGCACGAAAGCGUGGGGAGCGAACAGGAUUAGAAACCCCGGUAGUCC